GGGCCCGGCUCGGCUGGAGGGCGGGUGCGGGUCCCCGCGUGUCACGCUCCAGCUCGAGAGGACAAGGAGGGCAGGAGUGAUCACUGACUCGCUGCCUUGGAUGGCGGAGCUCCCGUGUUGUUCCUUACGUGUGACAGCUAUUUCAUCUCAAGGUGAUCCCAUAAAGUGGAUACUGUCAUUAGCCCUAUUUUACAAUCUGCCCAAGAGGGGGUGAGGCCUGGAAGUGAGGCGGGCAGAGAUGGGACGUACAUCACAAAGUCUGGAGAGGGCGCCUCCAGAUGCUUCUUUGCAGGGCUUGCUGCCUCUUGAACCAUGAACUUUGUCUCAAAAGCCAUCUGGUUUCUCGUCUCGAAAACAUCCCACGACAGCUCUGAGUGCUACAAACCAGGCUGGGUCAUCUGCUGCUGCUGGCUUCCAGAUAUUGCUCCAAACGUUUCUGCAAGGCUGGUGACGUCCCAAGACACUGAGACUUUAGAUGCCCACUGCCCAAUAUUUGGUAGUGCUCACAAAAAAUGUCGAUGGAGAAAAAAGUAUGACUGCAACACGGGGCAGCAAUAGGUAACAGGGAAGACCUGCGCGCACACUAGGUUUACGCCCCGCUUCAUUCGAGGCCCUUGGAGGAAGCUGGAAAAGCAUGUAUGUAGUUCAGUAAUCUCCACCUGGUCUUUCUGUGCAUGAACUCAAGAGCUGGAACUGUAUUACAAAGCAAAGAGCUGGUGCUCGGCAUUCGGCAGGGAGUUCUCAGGGGCCUACGUCCAGGAUUUUAGAUGAUGUUCACCUUUUCAAGAGUAAACUUACCAAGAGUAACUUAAAUCACAGGUUUAGGUAUUCUAACAACAGCUUGUUACAUCCUUGGGCACAGUUACAUGAGGACGCACCUAUAUAUCCUUCAGCAGGUGUGGGGGGAUAGCUCCAACAAACACCUUCAACCUUGACGAGACAAACCUGACCACUGUAGCGUGGCCUCAGGUUCCAAAUGAAUGCCUCAAUGCAGCCAAACUCGCUCAAUGUCCAGGCAAGGCCACAGAUGGUACCUAGUGCUUCUGUACGGCUGAAGAAUAUAGUGUAGAGAUCCUGAUGUUUGUUAAUUGCUGCUUUUC